rnacentral:rRNA from 1 species
UUUUCCUACGGGGGGCAGCAGUGGGGAAUAUUGCACAAUGGGGGAAACCCUGAUGCAGCGACGCCGCGUGAGCGGAGAAGUAUUUCGGUAUGUAAAGCUCUAUCAGCAGGGAGGAAAAUGACGGUACCUGAGUAAGAAGCUCCGGCUAAAUACGUGCCAGCAGCCGCGGUAAUACGUAUGGAGCAAGCGUUAUCCGGAUUUACUGGGCGUAAAGGGAGCGUAGGCGGCCAUGCAAGCCAGGGGUGAAAGCCCGGGGCCCAACCCCGGGACUGCCCUUG